rnacentral:rRNA from 1 species
CUCUAGCAUUUCCAGUAUUAGAGGCACUGCCUGCCCAGUGACAUCAGUUAAACGGCCGCGGUAUCCUGACCGUGCAAAGGUAGCAUAAUCAUUUGUUCCUUAAAUAGGGACUUGUAUGAAUGGCCACWCGAGGGCUUUACUGUCUCUUACUUCCAAUCCGUGAAAUUGACCUUCCCGUGAAGAGGCGGGAAUAUGACAAUAAGACGAGAAGACCCUAUGGAGCUUUAAUUAACCGACCCAAAGAGAUCUUGAUAAUCAACCGACAGGGAUAACAUACCUCUACCAUGGGCCGACAAUUUAGGUUGGGGUGACCUCGGAGAAUAAAACAACCUCCGAGUGAUUUAAAUCUAGACUAACUAGUCGAAAGUACUACAUCACUUAUUGAUCCAAAAACUUGAUCAACGGAACAAGUUACCCUAGGGAUAACAGCGCAAUCCUAUUUUAGAGUCCAUAUCGACAAUAGGAU